GAUUAAGAACGUAGCGAAAUGCGAUAAGUAAUGUGAAUUGCAGAAUUCAGUGAAUCAUCGAAUCUUUGAACGCAUCUUGCGCUCCUUGGUAUUCUGAGGAGCAUGCCUGUUUGAGUGUCAUUAAAUUCUCAACUACACUGACUUUGAAUUGGUGUGGCUUGGAUUUGGGGGGAAAAUUGUUGUGGGCUUUUUGUAUAGUCUGCUCCCCUGAAAUUGAUUAGCGGUACCUUUGUGGAACUGUCUACAGGUGUGAUAAUUAUCUACAUCUUAGACAUCUGCUGGAAUGCUGCUCUCUAAACCUUACUUGUAUUGACAAUCUUGACCUCAAAUCAGGUAGGACUACCCGCUGAACUUAAGCAUAUCAAUAAGCGGAGGA
rnacentral:misc_RNA from 1 species